rnacentral:rRNA from 1 species
AGAAUCAACGCUGGCGGCGUGCCUAACACAUGCAAGUCGCACGAGAAAGGGUAGCAAUACCUGAGUAAAGUGGCGCACGGGUGAGUAACACGUGAAUUAUCUACCUCCGAGUGGGGAAUAACUGAGAGAAAUCUUAGCUAAUACCGCAUAACGCUUACGAGUCAAAGCAGCAAUGCGCUUGGAGAGGAGUUCGCGGCCGAUUAGUUAGUUGGCGGGGUAAUGGCCCACCAAGACGAUGAUCGGUA